GGGCAUGUAGCUUAAUGAUAGAGCAGCCUACCGACCGGGGCCAGCGGUCAGGUCUUGGGUUCAAUUCCCAGCCUGUCCA
rfam:Picea glauca, whole genome shotgun sequence.